UGCUUCUAUGUUACACUGCAGUAGUUAAACUGAUGAAAAACAGCAUCUGUAUGCAGCAUCCAAGUGAGUGUGAGGGACAAAGGUGUCCCAGAUCCUGUGUGGGUGUUUCUAGGGAAACUGGAUCCUACUGCUGAGAAAAUUCUAAAAGAUGUUGCUUUGUGAAUGACCUUCAAUAUACGUGCAGCACUCACAGAAACCCUCCUCCC